rnacentral:lncRNA from 1 species
GAAUGACUAGUUAUGAUGGAAACAGCCACCAUGUUGUGAGGACACUCAAUUAGCCUUGUGGAGAGACCCACAUGGGCGAGAAACCAAGGGCUGCCGCCAACAGCCCACAUCCACUUGCCAGCUCUGAGAGCAAAUAGAUCCUGCAGGCCUAGUGAAGCCUCAUUUGACUGACGCCUCAGUCAACAUCUUGACUGCAAGCCCAUGCAAAACACUGAGCCAGAAACCACCCACCCGAGAAGCUGAGAAUUCCUGACUGGCAGAAAAUGCUGAGCAGAAAACCAGGAAGUGGAUGGGCUGUAUCUCCGCAGCCACGCCUGCCCGUUUGCGCUUAUUGAACGGAGGUCCUCAGGAACAUGAGCCCCUCUUCUUGGGCCUGUGAUUCCUCACCUGGAAGGGAGAAGAGUGGACUUCCUGCCUAGAGAACACCUUGGUAAACACUUUAUGGUUCCUGUCAUGAGAAGGUGUGCAGCUUAGGGAAAAAGCCUGUGAGCUCUGGAAUCAGAUGGAACUGGAUAUAAAUUUCAGUUUAGUGCUUGUUGGAUUAAAUGUGAUGCUACUUCUCCCAGCCGAAAGAAGAAAACUGGUAAGAGGAAGGGAAAUGCAGCCUCAGUGAGGAGGCCUCCAUUCUGGAAGGGCUUCCCAGGCCCAGAGAAGGGAGAAAGUAAUUUGGAACCACCCAAGUAUUGGUGAUGCCAGGCCUCACCCUACCCUGGGGAUAUUUGAAUCUCAAAAAAGGAGCAUGGGGAUCUGACAAAGCACUUGCAUAUAUAAAGAACUCCUCCAAAUCAACAAGGCAAAAACCUCAUUAGAUACAUAGGCAAAAACCUUAGAAGAGCCACAUCACAAAGGAGGACCUCCAAAUGGCCAAGAAGCAUAUGAAAAGAUGUUCAGUCUCAUUAGCUACCAGGGAAUUCAAAUUAGAACUACACCAGGAUGGCUGAAAGUGCAAAGACUGACAAUAUCAAGGGCUGGUGAGGAUGCAGAACAACUGGAACUAUCCUACGCGCUGGGGAAGAGGUAAAUUAAUACCGCCCCUUUGGAAGAACAGUUCAGAAGCAUCGCUAAAGCUGAACAUAUUCAUGCCUACUCCGGAAAUGCUGAGCCCAGUGGCUCCCUUUGAAGAACUGCCUUGGGGUUCAUGUUGCAGCAUCAAACAGGGAUGGAAGAUGCAUCUUGCUUUAGCAGCAGGAGCCUGGAAAGCAGCUGAAGCCCUGGAGGGUGCCUGGCACACAGAAUCUUGUGCUGAGCCCGGAGCCCAAUGGGAGCGGGCUGGCGGGGUGGGUUCACAGCUGGACUGGGAGCAGCAGACAUACAGGCCGUAGGCACAGACAUAUAAAGACAGUCAUGCAGAUUGCAGGAUGCCUGAGAGCACAGACUCUCACAUGCACAAAUAUGUGCAUGAUCACCAGUGUGUAUCCAGACAGCCCCACAUGCGUGCACGUGCAUGCACACAUGAGAUAUGUACAUAGAUGGACACAUGUCUAUGCCCACAAACACUGCAGAGACACACGCUAAAGUGUCUGGCAAGGAGCACUAUUUUGUCCUCAAUUUUCUGCCAGCGAGAGUCUACUGACUCCAUCUCUGAAAUGUCUCUACUUAUUGUCCCUCUUCUUCACCUGUGCCACAUCCCUAAUCCCUGAAACUCCCACCGAGACCCCUGGGAAAUAGCAAAGUCAGGACAGGAUUCCUGCUCCGCCUCUACCCGACCCUUAAGCCCAUCCUACAUGCAAGAGCAGGAGUUAUCUGGGUAUCAGGCAAAUCUGACCACAUCACCUCCCCACUGCUUAAAACCCUUUCCUACAGGAUGAAGUUUAAAUCACUUGACAUCCCAUAUAAGGCGCUUGACUGUCUGGCAUCAGCCGUAGUCUGGCCUCAGGCCCUGGCAUGGAGUCCCCUGGACUCAGUGCUCCGGCUGAGGGCCUCCAGGAUGAAGAUGCCCUGUGCAAAGCCUCACACUUCUGCUGUUGCUGGGCUCACUGUGUGAAAUUCCCUCCUCCCUCCUUCCACCUUCCUCCCUCCUUCCACCUUCCCUAUGCUGAACUGCCACUCCUCCAUCCUCCGUGGCCAGCGAAGCCAACACCUCCCCACUUCCUCCUGACAACCCAGGCACAGCCACUGACCUGUCCCAUGGCUGUCACAGCCCUUUCUUGGGCUCUCAAUGGUAUCGUUGUCACCUGUGUGCUCAUGAGCCUCCGCCACUCAACUCCAAGCACAUCAAAUAGAGAGCUCAAAACAU